rnacentral:rRNA from 1 species
UACGUAGGUGGCAAGCGUUGUCCGGAAUUAUUGGGCGUAAAGCGCGCGUAGGCGGCUACUUAAGUCGGAUGUGAAAGCCCCUGGCUCAACUGGGGAAGUGCACCCGAAACUGAGUGGCUUGAGUGCGAAAGAGGGUCGCGGAAUUCCCGGUGUAGAGGUGAAAUUCGUAGAUAUCGGGAGGAACACCGGUGGCGAAGGCGGCGACCUGGGUCGACACUGACGCUGAGGCACGAAGGCCAGGGGAGCAAACGGG